AUUGAACGCUGGCGGCAUGCCUUACACAUGCAAGUCGAACGGCAGCACGGGAGCAAUCCUGGUGGCGAGUGGCGAACGGGUGAGUAAUGUAUCGGAACGUGCCCAGUCGUGGGGGAUAAUGUAGCGAAAGCUACGCUAAUACCGCAUACGAUCUAUGGAUGAAAGCGGGGGAUCGCAAGACCUCGCGCGAUUGGAGCGUCCGAUAUCAGAUUAGGUAGUUGGUGGGGUAAAGGCUCACCAAGCCGACGAUCUGUAGCUGGUCUGAGAGGACGACCAGCCACACUGGGACUGAGACACGGCCCAGACUCCUACGGGAGGCAGCAGUGGGGAAUUUUGGACAAUGGGCGCAAGCCUGAUCCAGCAAUGCCGCGUGCAGGAUGAAGGCCUUCGGGUUGUAAACUGCUUUUGUACGGAACGAAACGGCGAGCUCUAAUACAGUUUGCUAAUGACGGUACCGUAAGAAUAAGCACCGGCUAACUACGUGCCAGCAGCCGCCAUAA
rnacentral:rRNA from 1 species